GGAAUAUUGGACAAUGGAGGGAACUCUGAUCCAGCCAUGCCGCGUGCAGGAUAAGGUCCUAUGGAUUGUAAACUGCUUUUGUCCGGGAGCAAUAAGGUCCACGUGUGGGUCGAUGAGAGUACCGUACGAAUAAGCAUCGGCUCACUCCGUGCCAGCAGCCGCGGUAAUACGGAGGAUGCGAGCGUUAUCCGGAUUUAUUGGGUUUAAAGGGUGCGUAGGCGGCUAUGUAAGUCAGCGGUGAAAUUCAGGCGCUCAACGUCUGUCGUGCCGUUGAAACUGCGUGGCUUGAAUGCGGAUGCCGUGGGAGGAAUGUGUGGUGUAGCGGUGAAAUGCAUAGAUAUCACACAGAACACCGAUUGCGAAGGCAUCUCACGAAUCCGCGAUUGACGCUGAGGCACGAAAGUGCGGGUAUCAAACA
rnacentral:rRNA from 1 species